rnacentral:rRNA from 1 species
GGGCCCGCACAAGCGGCGGAGCAUGCGGAUUAAUUCGAUGCAACGCGAAGAACCUUACCAAGGCUUGACAUAUAGAGGAAAAGUGCAGAAAUGCACUCCCCGCAAGGUCUCUAUACAGGUGGUGCAUGGUUGUCGUCAGCUCGUGUCGUGAGAUGUUGGGUUAAGUCCCGCAACGAGCGCAACCCUCGUCCUAUGUUGCCAGCACGUAAUGGUGGGAACUCAUGGGAUACUGCCGGGGUCAACUCGGAGGAAGGUGGGGAUGACGUCAAAUCAUCAUGCCCCUUAUGUCUUGGGCUUCACGCAUGCUACAAUGGCCGGUACAGAGGGCUGCAAUACCGCAAGGUGGAGCGAAUCCCAAAAAGCCGGUCUCAGUUCGGAUUGAGGUCUGCAACUCGAGUGCAUGAAGUUGGAAUUGCUAG